rnacentral:tRNA from 1 species
GCCUGGGUAGCUUAGUUGGUUAAGCGUGUGACUUUGACUCAGAUCAUGAUCUUGUGGUUAGUGAGUUCGAGCCCCACAUCAGGCU